AGAACGAACGCUGGCGGCAGGCCUAACACUUGCAAGUCGAACGCCCCGCAAGGGGAGUGGCAGACGGGUGAGUAACACGUGGGAGCGUACCCUUUGGUUCGGAACAACUCCGGGAAACUGGAGCUAAUACCGAAUAAGCCCUACGGGGGGAAAGAUUUAUCGCCGAAGGAUCGGCCCGCGUCGGAUUAGCUAGUUGGUGGGGUAAAAGCCUACCAAGGCGACGAUCCGUAGCUGGUCUGAGAGGAUGACCAGCCACACUGGGACUGAGACACGGCCCAGACUCCUACGGGAGGCAGCAGUGGGGAAUAUUGGACAAUGGGCGCAAGCCUGAUCCCAGCCCAUGCCGCGUGAGUGAUGAAGGCCUUAGGGUUGUAAACGCUCGUUUCGCCGAGGGACGAUAAUGACGGUACUGGAUAAGAGCCCGCUAACUCGCGCAGCAGCCGC
rnacentral:rRNA from 1 species